rnacentral:misc_RNA from 1 species
UCAGAUGCCCGGCUUUUGAAGCCGGGCAUUUUCAAUUGCAAUCCGCCUUCCCGCAUAAAGUCAUGCGAAAAACGCAGGAUGUAGAGUGAAUCAUUGCUUUACUUCCAUAUAUAAAGCGACUUUAUCUAUUGUGACGGCUGGAUAUAGAGCGAUCCUCUAAAUCUAGAGCGCAUCCCGAAAAGUGUGAAAUGAUUUUCGGAUAAGAAGCGCGUCAAAACAACAUUGAGAGCGCCAGUCUGAUUCAAU